UAACACACCACUGCUGCUCUUAGAGACCAAUGGUUCCAACUUCCCACCAACAGCCAGUUAGCCUGUUUGCUCAUGACUGCAAGGGAACAGGACUCAACUAGACUCAACAUUUAUUUCUAAUCAUUUACUCAGCACUGACCUGUUCAAUCAAUGGUCAUUUGGGAGGACAUACAACUAAGUGGAACACAAUCCUCAAGGACACACAGGCCUAGUACACAGCGGACAAUUCGGAGAAGUUCAGGACCUUCUCCAGUGUCACUGAGCCUACAGGGAGCAGUACUGAACUUGGACCCAAGUCACACGACUCUAAAGCUGCAGUCAUCUACUGUCAUACCUUGCCUCCCCACACAUUCAUUUGUGGGUUUCUGGGGAACAAGGGGUAUGAUUCCCCUUUGUCUUAAAGAGCACUUAAAAAAAAAAGAUUAACUUGUUUUUCUGGUCAUCAAAUACAGCCAAACCAUUAAAGGAAAUUUACCAUAUGACAGAUGUCCCUUCUCUGUCCUCCCCUUCCUAUCCUCACCCACUAAGAAAAAGGUCAGUUUCUCUGAGAGGUAACAGUAAGGGGUUUACAGAAGCCCGCCCCCGCCUGACACAGCUACAACCCUAGGUUCCCACAGUGGGACUUAUCUGGUCUCCUCCUUUUCCACGGAAGAAGGUGAAGCAUGUUAACAGCACAGAUGAACAACAGCUGUGGCCGC